GAAUAUAAAUGAAUCAAACCUAUUUUUUAAUCUUGUUUGUUUAAAUAUUGAAGAUUUUAAAAAAUGUUCAAUCUUGUUUGGUGCUUUAAUACCAAGUGUUCAAACAUUGAAUGUUUAAUCAGACGAUCAAGAACGAGUGCUCGAUUCUUUUUAUAGCCGUAAAGAUAGUUUAACAUGUAUCCCAUGUAGUAACAUUUGGUGCUUUAAACUGUUCAACUUCAACACCUUCGUUGUUUGAAUUUCAGAUUAUAAAAUAACCCAAUGUUUGAUUGAGUUCCUUCCAUGGCACUUAUCUGAUUUCUGUAUCAGUGAAAUGAAGUUGAUCAGCUGCGGCCUGCUGCUCGUGGUAGAAUCCAUCAGAGAAGGCUAAGAUGUGGUUGCAAACUAGCAGUUGUGCUAUGAGCUUCAAGCUCUGCUCAGAGUUGAUAUUUCACUUGUCUCCUAUAUAAGAAGGAUAAGUAUCAGUGAAGGAAAAAUUACCUGCUGCUGCCGUAGUAGUUGUUGUUGCCAACACUGUAAUGUGGUGACUGCUCUCAGCAUUAUGUACAGUGGCAGAACAAUUCCAGCUGUUUUCAGCAGCUGGAUCUGAUAUCAAUCAUUGUCUAUCGUUACUGCCAACCAAAAUUGCUACAAAAAUCAGUCUGUUAGAUUUGAAGCUAUCUUCAUGAGAGAAGGAAUCACCAUGAAGGUCUGGAGUGAAUACUGUUCUGUGCCGUUGAUGAUGAUUGUAAGUCCUUCCCGAAGUAACAAAAGAAGUAAAAACUGAAAGCCAAGUGCCAGUGAAAGCUGCUU